ACUCAAAGGAAUUGACGGGGGCCCGCACAAGCAGCGGAGCGUGUGGUUUAAUUCGAGGUUACGCGAAGAACCUUACCUGGACUUGACAUAAUGGUGGUAGGGAGGCGAAAGCUGACCGACCUUCGGGAGCCAUUACAGGUGCUGCAUGGCUGUCGUCAGCUCGUGUCGUGAGAUGUUCGGUUAAGUCCGAAAACGAGCGCAACCCUCGGCGUGUGUUACAGGUGUCACACGCGACUGCCCGUGACAAACGGGAGGAAGGUGGGGAUGACGUCAAGUCAGCAUGGCCUUUAUGUUCAGGGCUACACACACGCUACAAUGGGCGGUACAAUGGGUCGCGAAGCCGCGAGGCGGAGCCAAUCCUGAAAAGCCGUUCGUAGUUCGGAUUGCAGGCUGCAACUCGCCUGCAUGAAGUCGGAGUUGCUAGUAACCGCAGGUCAGCCACACUGCGGUGAAUACGUUCCCGGGCCUUGUACACACCGCCCGU
rnacentral:rRNA from 1 species